GGUCAUUUAAAGAACGAGGGUCAGCACGACGUAAAAAAAAAUAAAAAAAAGGGAAAAAAACGGAAAAAAAAAAUCGGAGGAGCCUACCGGAGAUGAGGCCAUUAUGGCUCGCCUUCAGGAGUCCUCCUCGGGAUAGGGUCAUUUAAAGAACGAGGGUCAGCACGACGU